AAUCUUGUACAAUGGGCGCAACCCUGAUCCAGCAACGCCGCGUGAGCGAAGAAGGUCUUCGGAUUGUAAAGCACUUUUAUAUGAGAAGAACAGCUGCAAGUGUCUCCAUCGCUACUUUGACGUUACCGACACAAUAAGCCACUGCUCACUACUUGCCAGCAGCCGCGGUAAUACGUAGGGUGUAAGCGUUUAUCGGAAUUACUGGGCGUAAAGCGUGUGUAGGCGGUUCUGUAAGUAUGAUGUGAAAGCCCAAGGCUCAACCUUGGAGCGGCAUUUGAAACUGGAGGACUUGAGUAUAGAAGAGGAAAGUAGAAUUCCACGUGUAGCGGUGAAAUGCGUAGAUAUGUGGAGGAAUACCAGUGGCGAAGGCAGCUCCCUGGGAUAAUACUGACGCUCAGGCACGAAAGCGUGGGGAGCAAACAG
rnacentral:rRNA from 1 species